rnacentral:rRNA from 1 species
AGUGAACGCUGGCGGUAGGCCUAACACAUGCAAGUCGAACGGCAGCACAGUAAGAGCUUGCUCUUACGGGUGGCGAGUGGCGGACGGGUGAGGAAUACAUCGGAAUCUACUUUUUCGUGGGGGAUAACGUAGGGAAACUUACGCUAAUACCGCAUACGACCUACGGGUGAAAGCAGGGGAUCUUCGUACCUUGCGCGAUUGAAUGAGCCGAUGUCGGAUUAGCUAGUUGGGUGGGUAAAGGCCCACCAAGGCGACGCUCCGUAGCUGGUCUGAGAGGAUGAGCAGACACACUGGAACUGAGACACGGUCCAGACUCCUACGGGAGGCAGCAGUGGGGAAUAUUGGACAAUGGGCGCAAGCCUGAUCCAGCCAUACCGCGUGGGUGAAGAAGGCCUUCGGGUUGUAAAGCCCUUUUGUUGGGAAAGAAAAGCAGCAGGUUAAUACCCCGCUGUUCUGACGGUACCCAAAGAAUAAGCACCGGCUAACUUCGUG